rnacentral:lncRNA from 1 species
GGAAAGUGGGGUGGGGAGGAAAGCGGGUAGCAACCAAAGCAUGUUGAGUAACCUCUAGAGGUCAACACAUGCAUUUUUAUCAUUUAAUGCUUACAUCACCAUUACCCCUGGAAGGUAGGUAUCAUGCUCCUAUUUUACAGACUAGAAUACUGGGACUUCUUAGAGGCUAGGAGCCCUCCCUAAGGUCACCUGACUACAGACCAGCAGACCUGUUAUUAGAAUGUGCACCUCCAAAGCAUAUGCCUCUUCCCGUGGCCCUAAGCCUUCUGAAUAAGCAAGUAGCAGUGCUUGCUCUAAAAAUGCUAUUCUCAGUAGGAGAGCAUGACUCUGGCUUUUCCCUGCAGUGUUCAAAGCUGUGCUGGCUCUUAGAACAUCUGAGCCCCCACUGUUUCAUCUUUAGAGGAUCCCAGCUGCUGGGGUGUGAGGCCAGUGCUGGAGCCAGCAGUCUCUGACCCAGAAGGGACCUGAGGUGCUAAAGAAAAUGUCACAGAUGGAGUCCAAAAACAAAAUAACGGCCUGCUCCAUUCUGAUUCAAGUUCUCAUUUGCCUGUGCCCUGCUUUCCCAAGAGCCUAGUGACUGAUUGCAGACCCUUGAUUUCUGUGAGCUUAGACUAAUAGGUAUUGCAGGCAUACAUUCUGGGCUGAAGAUAACCAGAAAGCCAGCAACCCGAUGGGAGGAACAUUCAUUGCACAAGCUGAGAGUGAAAUGAGCGUCUACAUCAGCAGGCUUGCUUUGCCUAUUCAUACUUAUUACCUAAUAAAUGCAAAAUGGUUGCUGAAGCUCCAGAUGCCACAUCUGUGUCCAAGGGGAAAGAAGGAGGAAGGAAGAGCUCCAGCAAUCCAUCCCUUUAAUCAGGAAAGCAAAACUUUUCUGAAAACUUUUCACCUAUUUCAAAAAAGCAGGGUCAUAUGGCAAAGAGAAGAACAAUCAUGAUUCAUCACUUGGGGAUGGGCAUGUGGCUACCCAGAAUAAAAUUGAGUUCUGUUAGAAAAAAAGGAAUGGUGGAGGGGGCUGCUGAGUAAGCAACUAACAGUGCUUUGUGUGCCCACUUUUGAAUAAAUAAGUUUCAUUUUUAUAGGCUAAAAGGCAUACAUAUGUCUAUGUAUGUUCUUAUAUAUUCCUAAAUAUCAAUAUAAGCAUCAAUAUUUAGAAAUGAAUUAACAUAGGUAAAGUGUUUAGAAUAGUGCCUAUUAGGUGCCAUAGAAAGAUUUGCUAUCAUUAUUUUUACUGUUAGGUGUCUAUAUAUUUAUAUGUGUUUUACAGACAGUUUCUAAAAGUACUUCCUUUCCUCUUCACAAUGAUUACAACAUCUGUUCUUUUUAACUCUAGGGGUACAAGCUGGAAAAGGGGAAAAAUGAAUCAUGCUACAGGCCAAGUGUCCAUCACUGAUUCCCAGAGAUGCCCUUUGUGUGGUAGGCACUUCCAUGUGGACUCGCUACAGAGGUACAUGCAUAGGUCCAAGAUAGGCGUCCCUCAGCUCAUGGCCCAUAUUCCAGCUUGUAGACUUUUGCUAAGGAUGACCCCUCACCAGUAACCAGCUCUGGUCCCAAGCUCCUGGCUGCAGUCUUUAGUGUCCACAAACCCACAGAGGCUCAUCAUCCUCAACUGUGGGAAUGCACCUUUUCCUGCUGGUUCCUCCUCAUUGCCCUGGCAUUUCUCCAAAUGUUGUUCUCCCUCUGCUCAAAUAGGCAUGGAGCAGGGGCAGAUCAGAAAGUAUGAUGUCCAGCCAUCCUCCAACCAAAGAACAAAGUGCUAGACUAUCAUCAUUGCAUGUGCCCCCAGUCUCUACUGGGGAUGCCUAAGAGUCUUCCUUUCAUGUUGUGAAAUGAGGAGUGACUCUUCUGCUCCCAUUGUGGGGAGGAAGGGAAUACAUAGACCCACACACAUGCCAUUGUCCUGCUGAUAUCCUAGAAUUCCAUCUCUUCCUCCAGUCAUUCAUCUACUUAUGUAGAAUGAAGGUUUGGGGGUUUUAGCCUCCCCUUGAUACCCUGAAGGGGGUGUGUGUGGCCUCCUAAUACUCUCAUUUUCCUUUAGAAUGUGGGUGACUAGAGGCUACUUUGCCAUUUGCUUUGAGUUUUAGUAGCUAAUUCUGGGUUAACAGUGAAAGUCCUAUUUGAUAUCCUGCUACUCUUGUUACUUUAACCUAAUUAGAUAUUAUAUAAGUUGAUAAAAUGUGCAUGUACGAGG